rnacentral:lncRNA from 1 species
AACAUAAGAGAUGACUUAUUAGAGUAGAAUAGGCGAAACCUACAUGGAAAAGAAGACGAGAAGAAUGUGUGAUACUACUAUGAGAGAUUUAAGAAGAACAUAAAAGAUGAAAAAGAAAGAACAUAAGAGAUGACUUAUUAGAGUAGAAUAGGCGAAACCUACAUGGAAAAGAAGACGAGAAGAAUGUGUGAUACUACUAUGAGAGAUUUAAGAAGGUUGAAAUUAAAACCCUA